rnacentral:rRNA from 1 species
UACCAGCACCCCGAGUGGUCGGGACGUUAUUGGGCCUAAAGCAUCCGUAGCCGGUUCUGCAAGUCUUCCGUUAAAUCCACCUGCUUAACAGAUGGGCUGCGGAGGAUACUAUAAGACUAGGAGGCAGGAGAGGCAAGCGGUACUCAGUGGGUAGGGGUAAAAUCCGUUGAUCCAUUGAAGACCACCAGUGGCGAAGGCGGCUUGCCAGAAUGCGCUCGACGGUGAGGGAUGAAAGCUGGGGGAGCAAACCGGG